CAACCCUCAAGCCCUGCUUGGUGUUGGGCCCGGCCUGUGGUGGCCGGCCUAGAAGACAGUGGCGGCACCGCCCGGCCCUGAGCGCAGUACGACCCUCGCUCCAGCGCCCGGCAGUAGCUAGCCAGGACCCCCGACUCCCUGUAG
rnacentral:misc_RNA from 1 species